AAAGAAAGAAUUGGAAUCAGAUUCUUCCCCGAAUGCAUAGUUUGGACGAAGGUCAUUGGUAGUAGCCUCCCAAACAAAGAUAUUGUUGUGGGAAUGGAUGUUUAUUCAACAACAAAUAGGCUUCAAAUUCUCCCUACAGGAAUCAAAUUUAAGCGAGAAUUUAAACCUUACUCAGGAAUAUUAAAGUUGUAUUCCCUUUCUGAAGUUCCUGCUGGAUACGAAGAAAUCAAAUCCAAACUACUCAAACUUUGUGCAGACAAUCAUGGACAAUUCUCUCAUCCAAAACCUCUAUGGACAAACAAAGAAUUUUUUGUCCAACUUCCCUUCAAGCUUAACGAAGAUAUCAAUCCACCCAAAGCUACUCAUCCAGGAAUGAGCCCCUCAGAUUUAGCUUUGGCUCGGGAAGAAUGCAAUAAGUUACUCCAACAAGGUCUGAUAUAACCCACAAAAUCCGAAUGGGCUUGCCAAGCAUUUUAUGUGGAAAAGAGAUCUGAAAAAAUAAUGGGAAAAAAGAGGUUGGUCAUUGAUUAUAAACCUCUUAACCAUUUUCUGAAAGAUGACAAAUUUCUCAUUCCUAAAACCUCUUCCAUAAGCAUCUUCCUCAAAGAUGCUCAGAUCUAUUCCAAGUUUGAUAUGAAGUUGGGAUUUUGGCAAUUGGGUAUUGAUCCUAAGGAUCGUUACAAAACGGCGUUCUGCAUCCCUAACGCUCAAUACCAAUGGACAGUAUUGCCAUUUGGGCUUAAAGUAGCUCCCUUACUAUUUCAAAAGGCCAUGACUAAAUUUUUUUAGCCCAUUAUCGAUAGUAUUCUCAUUUACAUCGAUGAUGUGUUGUUAUUUUCAAAAGAUGAAAAGGCUCAUAAACAGUUAUUGGGCCAAUUUUCCCAAAUAGCCCAAGAUCAUAGAAUAAUGUUAUCCGAAAAGAAGAGCCAGAUAGUCCAAACGGAGAUCGAUUUUUUGGGAAUGCAUUUCUCUCAAGGGAAAUAUCAACCUCAGCCUCACAUAGCCCAAGAACUGUUAAAUUUUCCAGAUGAAAACCUCACAGUCAAACAAAUCCAGCAAUUUCUUGGAAUAAUUAAUUAUAUCCGGAAUUUCAUCCCAAAGUUGGCUAGAUAUACAAGUCCACUAUCACAGUUGCUUAGGAAAAACUCUCCGCCGUGGGACCAAAGCAUACUGAAGCUAUCAAAACUUUGAAAAGGAUUGCACAAACUCCACCUGCCCUAAAAAUUCCUGGAAAUGGGAAAAGAAUUUUACAAACUGAUGCCAGUGAUCAUUAUUGGGGCACAGUCUUGAUAGAAGAGAUCGAUGGAGUAAAACACUAUUGUGGUCAUGCUAGUGGACAAUUCAAGGAAGCCGAAAAACAUUAUCACACCACCUACAAAGAAGCACUUGUAGUUAAGUUGGGAAUACAAAAAUUUGACUUCCACCUGAGGGGUUAUCAGUUCGAGGUCCAAAUGGACAAUUCUUUUUUCCCUAGGAUCCUUGAAUUUAAGAAUAAAAUGCCUCCGGAUCCCCAAACUCUUAGGCUAAAAGAUUGGUUUUUGAGAUACGAUUUUACGGUAAAACAUAUCAAAGGAAAUCAAAACUUGAUUCCUUAUUUGCUUUCAAGACCUAUGAAGCCUAUCUAGAUUGUCACCAAAAAACACACCUUUCCGUUGAUCGUUAUGCUCAAAUCACUACCAGCCCAUGGCUCUACCAUCAAAGAUUUUCCUCCUGGAGUGGAACCGUCUUUUUCACCAUCUAGACUCAAAGAUGGAAAUAAAAAGUGAAAACACCGACAAAGUGUUCAAAGUAAAUGGAAGACGACUCAUGCUAUUCCAUGAGAGCUCUGUGAUUGAAGAUGCUACCACAGAAGAAUUCUCCUCGGAAAAGCCCACUUUCACUAAAGUUUGAACAGGGAGCUCCAUUUCCUUACUCUUAUUUUAUAUUUGUUACUUUCAUUUAGGGUAAUGUGUAAUUUAAGUGUUGGAUAUUAUUUAGGAUUUUAUUUGUUAUAGGAUAUCAAAAACAAAAAUAAAAUAAAUAAAUAAAUAAAAAUGUGCAUUGCAUUGCAUGCUUUUUCAUCAAAUUUUGUGAUUGUAAAUGUUGUGAGUUUGUUUGGUCUGACAUGAUUGGAUAGUAUCGUUACAUUCUUGGUAAAAAUAAGUUGGAUUAAAAUGCUAAAUUGUGUAUCAUUUGUGAUAGGUCAUUAACCUUUGUGAGAUUUUGAGCCUUAUUAUGGAUGGAAUACAUUUUUCCAUCUUCUUUUUUCUUGUGUGUUAUCUCACUCACGAUUGCUAGUUACGCUAGAACUUGACUUGACUCUUGUCCGCAUGCAUAUAUUGAAAUGAUCUAGGCAUUUGUUUCUUGUUAAACUACUAGCCAAAUAAGCUUACCCUACAAUUAUCCAUUUGUUUAAGCCCCUUUGAGCCUAAUUAUCCCAUUCUUUAUUAUAUAGCUCAUUAUAAGCCUAAAAGUGAUAAACAAUGAAUUGACCCAAUUUUGGAGGAUAAAUGAGUCUUUUCUUAAAUAAGUGUGGGGUGGUCAACUUGUUUCUUUAAAUUUGAGGUUUAUUUUUUAUUUUAAAAAAAAAGACAGAAAAAGAAAAAGAAAGAAAAAAAAAUAUGUAUCUAUAUAUAUAUCAAAAAAAAAAAGGAAUAAAAUGAGAAAAAUGGUUGUGUUGUGAGUAUAGAUAGUGUGAGAAUAAAAGUCAAUCAUAUUUUAUUGAGUUACUUCUUAAUGUUGUUUUUCUCUCUUGAUCAUUACUUCUUUAUCCUCUUUGAUUUUCAGCCUUAGUCUCCCUAGGAUUAUCUCACCCUUACCUUGGCCACGUUACAACCUGAAUAAAGACCUUUUGAUCAUUAUGUGCAUGUGUUCCAAAUCUAGAUGUUAGAGGCUUGUCAAGCCUAUGGUAGUGCUAGUUUUCAUGAUGUGCUUUGAGUGUAAACAGUAACUCAAACACUUUGAGUGGUUGGGAGAAUUUUAUAUCCUGGGAGAACUCUAUCACUUAUGAUGCAUUCUUUAGUUAAUUUUUCCUCUUGUUUUCCUUGGUUGUGAUAAAAAGCUAUUUAUGAUUGCCUUAAGCUAUAAAUAUUUUUUUUCUCACAACUUUGCAUUCAUGAGAAUAUUUGGGAUCGCAUGCAUUGUUUUGCUCUGAAUGCAAAAGCUUAAGUGUGGAAAAAUUUAAUGAUAACAUUUGGGCACAUGUUUCUACCUGGUAUUUGCAGGGUCUUGGUGAGAUGAAUGAGUUUCCAACAAUAAACCAAAGUUAGAGAAUCUGCUUUCGGUAUUUGAAGGGUCUUGGUGAGAUGAAUGAGUUCCCAAAAAUAAAACAAACGCGUGGAGCCCUCUCUUUUUUUUUCUCCUUCUUCGAGGAAAGGGUCGGGUUGUUCUUCGGUUGGACUCAGUGCUUUACAAGAGUAUGGUCCUUUUAAACCAACUGAUCAAGGGCGAGCAUGUUGUAUUUGGAUUCAUACGCUGGCGCUGACUUCUCAUACUCCACCAACAAAUCAUUCUACAACCAUGUGAUCAGUGAAAUGACAAGUCACUUUGCACCUCGACUUGUAGAACUCAUUUUACAAACCAAAACCAACAUUAAUUUAAAGAUAGGUAAAACCCUCCUACAAUUUAACACAUAUUACAACUCUAAGGGGCAAUUUUAGUGGUCACAUGGGUUGAUAACAUUUUCAACCAAUGAGUUAAAUACUUGAAUAAGAAAGGAGUACAAAAAGCUCUUCAUACUAGGUUUUCCUCGUGGCUAACUUGCGGAGCUAUCCGGUAUGACAGCAAAAUUAUUAAAAAUUCAACCAUAUCUCUUCUAGGGACACUUGUUAAAUCAGAUGUUAGAGUUAUGAUAUUUAGGCAGCAGGAUUUACACCGGAUUAUGAUGAUAUUUUAUCAUUUGCCACCAUUAGAGGAGUCGAUCAUUCUUGUGCAUAUUUGCAACCACAAGAAACAUGUGUUAUUGAAAGCUUUAUUAGAAGGAAGGUUCCUUCCAAAAAUUAAAUUGUAAAUGCAUUAUGAAACAAAUUUUUUUAUUGAAAGAUAUAUAUUAAACAUUUAUUAUAUAUUUGUUAUAUUUUCAAGAGAUUGAUUGAGAUGUGACAA